AUUGAACGCUGGCGGCAUGCCUUACACAUGCAAGUCGAACGGUAACGCGGGCAACCUGGCGACGAGUGGCGAACGGGUGAGUAAUACAUCGGAACGUGCCCAGUAGUGGGGGAUAGCCCGGCGAAAGCCGGAUUAAUACCGCAUACGACCUACGGGUGAAAGCAGGGGAUCGCAAGACCUUGCGCCAUUGGAGCGGCCGAUGUCAGAUUAGGUUGUUGGUGGGUAAAAGCCUACCAAGCCGACGAUCUGUAGCUGGUCUGAGAGGACGACCAGCCACACUGGGACUGAGACACGGCCCAGACUCCUACGGGAGGCAGCAGUGGGGAAUUUUGGACAAUGGGCGCAAGCCUGAUCCAGCCAUGCCGCGUGCGGGAAGAAGGCCUUCGGGUUGUAAACCGCUUUUGUCAGGGAAGAAACGCUCUGGGCUAAUACCCCGGGGUAAUGACGGUACCUGAAGAAUAAGCACCGGCUAACUACGUG
rnacentral:rRNA from 1 species